rnacentral:rRNA from 1 species
UCGAGAAUUUUUCACAAUGGGCGAAAGCCUGAUGGAGCGACGCCGCGUGGGGGAUGAAUGGCUUCGGCCCGUAAACCCCUGUCAUCUGCGAGCAAUGCUGCGCGCCGAAUACGCGCGCAGUUGAUAGUAGCAGAAGAGGAAGGAACGGCUAACUCUGUGCCAGCAGCCGCGGUAAUACAGAGGUUCCAAGCGUUGUUCGGAUUCACUGGGCGUAAAGGGUGCGUAGGCGGUUGGGUAAGUCUGAUGUAAA